AUGGAAGUAAAGGGGACAUCAGGUUGAAGCUUUGUGCUGUGAGUCAGAAGGACAAUUGAAAAGUUGCCUAAAGAGGCGCACACAGUCCGCGCUGCUGCCGUCCAGCUGGAAGGGAACCUCAGUUCUUGCCUAUUGGCCGGAGCUCUUCACAGAAUGUCCCCCACCCCUACCAGUACCUGCUGCACUGCCCCUCCCCCUCCUCAGAAUGUCUGGGGUCCUAUGUUCUAAACCUAUUUAUUUUCAAAUUUUCUCUGAUCCACCUGAACUCAGGAGAAUCUGUUGAGGCAGUUCACUCUCUGGGUCCUGCCCUUGACUUUUCUCAUUGUGGAAACUGUCAGACAGCGGUGAUCAGCACCCAGCCUGAGGGGAUGGCUUCAAAUGGAGCAUACCCAGUGCUGGGACCGGGCAUGACAGAGAACCCUGGUGCCUCCAUGCCAGUGUUCAUGGCUCUGUCCUUCGCCACACCUGCUCCCGGCCCAGCACAUGGGCCGCCCCUCAUGACUGCAGCAGUUUCUCCAGGCGGCCCUCCGGUGCUGUCUGCCUUCCCCAGGACCCCUCUGGUGGCAGGACAGGAUGGCCAAGGCCUGAAUUGGCCCGGGGCUUCCAACGUCCUUGUCCAGAUGAGGACAGAAGUGGGGCCUGUGAAGGCCCCUGAGGCACAGACCUUGGUCCUAACUCAGGCCCCCCUCGUCUGGCAGACUCCAGGUGCCGUCUGUGAGGGCAUCGCAUGUCCACCUCCCCGACUCCUGGCAGCGGCCCCUGUGGUGCCCGCUAUGGCUGCCCAGGUCUUUUUGGGCACCCAGGCCUGCGAGGGAGGCUGGUCCCAGGGCCUUCCUCCUCCAGCACCACCACCGGCUCCCCAGCCGGCCCCGAUGACGGCUCCAGGGAAUGCUGGGCCAUGGCCACAAGGGGCUCAUGGAGAGGGCAGCCUGGCUCCCUCCCAGGCCAAGGCCCCCCCGGACGACUCCUGCAACCCCAAGAGCGUGUAUGAGAACUUCCGACUCUGGCAGCGCUACAAGCCCCUGGCCCGGAGGCACCUUCCCCAGAGUCCGGACACGGAAGCGCUUUCCUGCUUCUUCAUCCCAGUUCUCAGAUCCCUGGCCCGGCGGAAGCCCAGCAUGACCCUGGAGGAGGGACUGUGGCGGGCCGUGCGGGAAUGGCAGCUCAAGAGCAACUUUGACCGGAUGAUCUACUACGAGAUGGCGGGAAAGUUCCUGGAGUUUGAGGCUGAGGAGGAGAUGCAGAUUCAGAAGUCGCAGUGGAUGAAGGGGCCCCAGUGCCUGCCUCCUCCAGCCCCGCCGAGGCUUGAACCUCAAGGACCAUCGGCCCCUGAGGUGGUCAAGCAGCCAGUGUACCUUCCCAGCCAGGACGGCCCCAAGGCCCCGCCUGCCUGCCUGCCGCCACCCAGUCCCCAGCGGCCAGCGGAGACCAAGGCCCCGGAGGAGAUGCCCCCUGAAGUGGUGCAGGAGUAUGUAGACAUCAUGGAGGAGCUGCUGGGGCCUCCCGCUGGGGCCACGGGGCAGCUCCCGGGACAAAGGGAAGAGGGCGAAGUGGAGCAGGACGGGGACGAGAUGCUUUCAGACCCCGACCUCCUGAGCUACGCUGACACUCUGUGUUCCCAGAAAGACUUCGUCACCAAGGUGGAGGCCGUCAUCCACCCCCGAUUCCUGGAAGAAUUGCUUUCCCCAGAUCCACAGCUGGAUUUCCUGGCCCUAAGCCAGGAGCUGGAGCAGGAGGAAGGGCUCACCCUUGCCCAGGUAUCGGAGAAGCGCCGCCUGUCCUUGAAGGAGGAACGGUGUGCCAGGGCAGCCCCUGGUCAUGGCACUGCCCGGUUGGGCUCAAUCUCUUCUGAGUCUGCAGUGGGCCAAGGAGCAGAGAGAGAUGUCCCUGGGCCCCAGCAAGGGGUCAGCGUGGAAACCUGCCCACCCCAGAUGGCUGCCCGGGACCCUCAGGGACGAGGCAGAGCACGCACUGGCAUGGCCAGGUCCAAAAACCCUGUGGUGCUUUUGGAGAGAUUGGAUUCCCGCAGGCUGAGGGCUGCCCGGCCAUACUCUCCUCCCCAGGACCAUAGACCCACCUGCCCAGGUGUGGGGACCAAGGACACCUGGAGUCUCCCUGGAGCCUCUCCUGUCAAUGGGUCACCCAGGCCGUCGAAGGGGUCAAGUGAGGAGGAGAGGGAAAUCCCUGGUGUGGUUUCUGUCAUGGGUACCAACUACAGGCUGCGGCCCUGGAAGCUGUCCCAGAGCCCUGUCCCUGCCUCGGGCCUUCUCAGCCCAGAAGGGCGGGGACCCCAGGGAGCUCUUCAGUCCCAAUCUGCAAAGAGAAGAGACCUCAGCCCAGCAGCCACUCAUGCCACCAAGUCCAAGAAGCGAGCUCUCUUCGGAGGCCCAUCCCCUGCUGAACAUUCACCCCACCUAGGGCCUGGGCUCAGAGUCUCUGGGGCACAAUCCCCGGCUCGGGGGCUGGGUGGCCCCUCACAGUCCCUAAAGAGAAAGGGUGACCCCUUGCUCUCUAAGAGGAAGAAAAAGCAGCACCGCAGCCAGUAGGGGGACAGGGCAGGCCCUCUGGUGCCAAUCCUCAAGGGUGGGGCUCUCAACUCUCGGACCCUCAGGGCACCGGCUGACCCAAAGCAAAGACUUCUCCCCCAGUGCUGAUCUUGAUGGGCAUUAGCUUUGGAGGGUGGGAGUGUGGGAGGAAGAGGGUGGCUGAACGGAAAGGGAGGGCCUUGGGGGAGGGGGUAGCAGGUGGGGAGCAACACCCUGGGGGUCUCCUGUGUAAAUAUAAUAAAUAUAGUUGUAUUGGAAA